rnacentral:snoRNA from 13 species
UAGUAAGCCUCCAGCGUGCUUGGAUCUGGUGUGAACCUGUGCAUUCCUAAAGCGCUUGCUAGAGCAGCUUUGAAAUGGUUUGAGGCCUUGCCCUGCUCUAUCCAGAGCAAGGUAAUAGAAAUUUCAGACAGUU